GUACCCUCUACUCAGGUGCCAAAGACCUAUCUCGGCAUGCUCGUCGGCUCCGUAUGUGCCUUAAUGGGAGUGCUGACUAUCGCUCUACCAGUUCCUGUGAUCGUAUCCAAC
rfam:Heligmosomoides polygyrus genome assembly, scaffold: HPBE_scaffold0013922